rnacentral:lncRNA from 1 species
CAAGACCACUCUGUAUGCAAAAGCCCAACAUGGCUGUAACUGGAGAUGAAACUGGGUUUCUUGUGAGUAUGAAAUGAGAUGAUGUAUCCCCAUUUUACAGAUGAGGAGACUGACCUUGCCCCAAGUCACAUGGCUGCUGCCACAGGUGACAUGCCAACUUACCAGAUCCGAGCUCCUACUACUGCUUUGCCACAAGGUGUGGUGAUGGCUGCCUCACCAGGGAGUCUGCACAGUCCCCAGCAACUAGCAGAAGAAGCAACUCGAAAGCGGGAGCUGAGGCUGAUGAAAAACAGGGAAGCUGCUAAAGAAUGUCGACGUCGAAAGAAAGAGUAUGUGAAGUGUCUGGAGAGCCGAGUCGCUCAGGAAGAAUGAAAGGAAGUAUAUUCUGAUGACACGGCUACAUGAGAAUAGCCUGACACGGCUACAUGAGAAUAGCCUACAAAUGAGUUUGUGCAUUUAUAGAUUUUUAUAAUUGUCACUUUGUAAAGAAAAUAUUGUAUUGCUGUCCUUGGGUGCCACAGUUGAAGACAGUUUUCAAUAGAACCAUGUUGGUUGCUCUUUGU